AGCUUUGUAUUCAACAAUGAUUUCAAAUUGCAAAUUUGAAGGUGGAUUAAUAAUUCUGGGGCUU
rnacentral:tRNA from 1 species